rnacentral:rRNA from 1 species
AACGAACGCUGGCGGCAGGCUUAACACAUGCAAGUCGAACGCCCCGCAAGGGGAGUGGCAGACGGGUGAGUAACGCGUGGGAAUCUACCUUUUGCUACGGGAUAGCUCCGGGAAACUGGAAUUAAUACCGUAUGUGCCCUCCGGGGGAAAGAUUUAUCGGCAAAGGAUGAGCCCGCGUCCGAUUAGCUAGUUGGUGGGGUAACGGCCCACCAAGGCGACGAUCGGUAGCUGGUCUAAGAGGAUGAUCAGCCACAUUGGGACUGAGACACGGCCCAAACUCCUGCGGGAGGCAGCAGUGGGGAAUAUUGGACAAUGGGCGCAAGCCUGAUCCAGCCAUGCCGCGUGAGUGAUGAAGGUCUUAGGAUUGUAAAGCUCUUUCACCGGGGACGAUAAUGACGGUACCCGGAGAAGAAGCCCCGGCUAACUUCGUGCCAGCCGCCGC